rnacentral:rRNA from 1 species
CCUACGGGAGGCAGCAGUGGGGGAUAUUGCACAAUGGGGGGAACCCUGAUGCAGCGACGCCGCGUGGGUGAAGGAGUGCUUCGGCAUGUAAAGCCCUAUCGGCAGGGAAGAAGCAAGACGGUACCUGACCAAGAAGCCGCGGCUAACUACGUGCCAGCAGCCGCGGUAAUACGGAGGGGGCGAGCGUUAUCCGGAUUCACUGGGUGUAACGGGAGCGUAGACGACCAAGCAAGCCAGGGGUGAAAGCCCGGGGCCCAACCCCGGUACUGCCCUUGGAACUGAAUGGCUUGAGUGCGGGAGGGGCAGGCGGAAUUCCUGGUGUAGCGGUGAAAUGCGUAGAUAUCAGGAGGAACACCGGCGGCGAAGGCGGCCUGCUGGACCGCGACUGACGUUGAGGCUCGAAAGCGUGGGGAGCGAACAGGAUUAGAUACCCUGGUAGUC